AUAUCGAGGUACACUCCCAACCCAUGUGAACCAUACCAAACUGUUGCCUCGCCGGG
rnacentral:rRNA from 1 species